CCUACGGGAGGCAGCAGUGGGGAAUUUUGGACAAUGGGCGCAAGCCUGAUCCAGCAAUGCCGCGUGCAGGAUGAAGGCCUUCGGGUUGUAAACUGCUUUUGUACGGAGCGAAACGGUCUGCCCUAAUACGGUGGGCUAAUGACGGUACCGUAAGAAUAAGCACCGGCUAACUACGUGCCAGCAGCCGCGGUAAUACGUAGGGUGCGAGCGUUAAUCGGAAUUACUGGGCGUAAAGCGUGCGCAGGCGGUGAUGUAAGACAGAUGUGAAAUCCCCGGGCUCAACCUGGGACCUGCAUUUGUGACUGCAUCGCUAGAGUACGGUAGAGGGGGAUGGAAUUCCGCGUGUAGCAGUGAAAUGCGUAGAUAUGCGGAGGAACACCGAUGGCGAAGGCAAUCCCCUGGACCUGUACUGACGCUCAUGCACGAAAGCGUGGGGAGCAAACAGGAUUAGAUACCCUGGUAGUCCCACGACCUAACCGACUAGUCACUAGGUUGGUUGGGUUCGUUCUACUGUACUCAGUAACG
rnacentral:rRNA from 1 species